CUGAGAGAGCGACUAGCCCAAGGUCACCAAGCAGGCUUCAUGUGGAGGAAUGUUCUUCAGGCUAUCUGGAGGGGGUCAUCAGCUGGCAGGAAGGAUAUUUCUCUGCAGAGUACGCUUUCUAUUCUGCACAGAUCUGGGCCCCUCUGAAAACAUCUAAAAGGACAACAGCAUUUUUCUAAGGCUCAGAAUAAAUUCUCCAACAAGUUCCUUCCUGUCCAACUCCAGUGAGAAAAAUCACGGCUUUUCUGAGCCUGUAAUUCAAGAUACAAUCCAUAAAUUAUCCUCUGAAGAAAGCAAAAGAAAGAGAUUAUUCUGCUGAGUUGCAUGCAUCACCCUCAGCAUGUGCAGCUGAGAA